AGAAUCAACGCUGGCGGCGUGCCUAACACAUGCAAGUCGAACGCGACUGGGGACUUCGGUUCCCAGUUGAGUGGCGAACGGGUGAGUAACACGUGGGUGAUCUACCUUCGAGUGGGGGAUAACGUCCCGAAAGGGACGCUAAUACCGCAUGACGUUCUGGGUUUGAAGACCUGGAAACCAAAGCCGGGGACCGCAAGGCCUGGCGCUUAAAGAGGAGCCCGCGUCCGAUUAGCUAGUUGGUAGGGUAAUGGCCUACCAAGGCGACGAUCGAUAGCCGGCCUGAGAGGGUGAUCGGCCACACUGGAACUGAGACACGGUCCAGACUCCUACGGGAGGCAGCAGUGGGAAUUUGCGCAAUGGGCUAACGCCUGACGCAGCAACGCCGCGUGGAGGAUGAAGGUCUUUGGAUUGUAAACUCCUGUCAGCAGGAAAAGGACACGACCUCAUACGUCGUGAACUUGAUUGUACCUGACAGAGGAAGCCCGGCUAACUCUGUGCCAGCAGCCGCGGUAAC
rnacentral:rRNA from 1 species